rnacentral:rRNA from 1 species
GUCUACCGCCAUACCACCCUGAACACGCCUGAUCUCAUCUGAUCUCGGAAGCUAAGCAGGGUCGGGCCUGGUUAAUACUUGGAUGGGAGACAGACAUAAAAAGUCAUUUUCCGAAAGACA